GUGCUUAUCUGGCAGAGGAGAUACCAUGAUCACAAUGGUCGUUUUCCCAGGUGAGGCUUAUCCAUUGCACUCCGGAUGUGAUGACCCUUGGGGUUUCCCCAAAUUCAGGAAACUUGACUGCAUAAUUUGUGGUAGUGGGGGCACUGCAUUUGUGCUCUCCACUA
ensembl:snRNA U1 U1 spliceosomal RNA